UGAUCCUGGCUCAGGAUGAACGCUAGCGGCAGGCUUAACACAUGCAAGUCGAGGGGUAACAUUGUAGCUUGCUACAGAUGACGACCGGCGCACGGGUGCGUAACGCGUAUAGAACUUACCUUUUACAGGGGGAUAGCCUUUAGAAAUGAAGAUUAAUAUCCCAUAGUAUUAUAAAAUGGCAUCAUUUUGUAAUUAAAGAUUUAUCGGUAAAAGAUGGCUAUGCGUCCUAUUAGCUAGAUGGUAAGGUAACGGCUUACCAUGGCUACGAUAGGUAGGGGCCCUGAGAGGGGGAUCCCCCACACUGGUACUGAGACACGGACCAGACUCCUACGGGAGGCAGCAGUGAGGAAUAUUGGGCAAUGGAGGUAACUCUGACCCAGCCAUGCCGCGUGCAGGAAGACUGCCCUAUGGGUUGUAAACUGCUUUUAUACAGGAAGAAACACUGCUACGUGUAGCAGCUUGACGGUACUGUAAGAAUAAGGACCGGCUAACUCCGUGCCAGCAGCCGCGGUAAUACGGAGGGUCCGAGCGUUAUCCGGAAUCAUUGGGUUUAAAGGGUCCGCAGGCGGUCAAUUAAGUCAGAGGUGAAAUCCCAUAGCUUAACUAUGGAACUGCCUUUGAUACUGGUUGACUUGAGUCAUAUGGAAGUAGAUAGAAUGUGUAGUGUAGCGGUGAAAUGCAUAGAUAUUACACAGAAUACCGAUUGCGAAGGCAGUCUACUACGUAUGUACUGACGCUCAUGGACGAAAGCGUGGGGAGCGAACAGGAUUAGAUACCCUGGUAGU
rnacentral:rRNA from 1 species